ensembl:lncRNA
GUCCCUCACCCCCAGAGCUAAGCAAAAAUGGCCACAGAUGACAGUCCAUGAUAUUUGGCUUACAGCACAUCACAGAGUACAGGGAUGCCAUCAGCACCAUCAGCUCUGCAGGCAGUCUGUUGAAUGACCUCAAUCGAUUCUACACCCGCUUCGAGACCCCCCAGACUUCCCAGACCUUCCAGAACCCCCAGACCUUCCGAACCCCCCAGACCUUCCAGAACCACCAGAUCACCCCUAUUGACCAUAGACCAGUUGCACUCACUCCAAUCAUUACAAAGUACUUCGAGAGAGUGGUGCUGGCCUACAUCCAGAGCAACAUCGCAGACACCCUGGAUCCCCUGUAGCUUGCCUAUCGGCCCAAUAGGUCCACGUCAGACGCCAUCGCUGCUGCCCUUCACGAUUCCCUUUCCCAUCUGGAAAACAAAGACUCAUACAUCAGGGUACUUUUUGUUGUUUACAGCUCCGCCUUCACUACUGUCAUCCCACACAAACUCACUCACAAGCUGGCGCUGCUCUUGCGGCGACCAGCAGGUUGUCUCUGUCUGUCAGUGUCAGUGUCUUAACUUAUUUUUUAUUCCUUUAUUUUAUCCUAUUUUUCUUUCUUUUUUUUUUGCCUGAGGAAAUCCUACAGCAUCGGCUUGUGCUUUGUGGAACUUCUUUUAAUGAAGAUGGGUUUUUUAUUUCGCUUGGUUUUAUUGGCAAUCCUGACGGUUGUUUGGAGUCAGUGCUACUCCCACACAAUUACAUACUCACGGGAGUUUCUUCUGGAUCUUCGGUGGACAGGCCCGUCUUUGGACUCUUUUCACCCUCCAGUGUUUUCCAGCUCUGGAUUAUCCAGUAAUCACAGGGGCACUUUUGUUUUUAACAGAGUCAAAGCAAGGAAGUGGGGUAAGAAGGGAGGCCUACGUCAGCGAUUGCGGAAGCAAAUACGGUACAACCGUAUUCCUUUACCAUCAAUAAUCCUGGCUAAUGUGCAGUCUCUGAGUAGUAAAUUAGAUGAACUGCAUUUGAAUGUUGCACAUUUACGUGACUACAGGGAUGCAUGUCUAAUGGCAUUCACAGAGACUUGGCUCAAGGAUUCUGACCCUGAUUGUUCUCUGGAAUUAAAUGGCUUCGGGGUUCCCAUACGUUUGGAUCGAGACCCCGGAGCUACCCAGAAAUCGCAAGGAGGAGGGGUGUGUUUGUAUAUAAAUCAGAAAUGGUGUAAAAACGUGACC